rnacentral:misc_RNA from 1 species
UCCGGUUUGUCACCGGCAGUCUCCUAUGAGUCCCCGGCUUGAACCGCUGGCAACAUAGGACAAGGGUUGCGCUCGUUGCGGGACUUAACCCAACAUCUCACGACACGAGCUGACGACAGCCAUGCAACACCUGUGUAGGGCCCUUGCGGACACCGUGUCUCCACGGCUUUUCCCUACAUGUCAAGCCCAGGUAAGGUUCUUCGCGUUGCGUCGAAUUAAACCACAUGCUCCACCGCUUGUGCGGGCCCCCGUCAAUUCCUUUGAGUUUCAGCCUUGCGGCCGUACUCCCCAGGCGGGGCACUUACUGCGUUAGCUACGGUACGGAGUCCGUUGGUAAGACCCCACACCUAGUGCCCAACGUUUACGGCGUGGACUAC